UGGUUUAGACGAAUGGAACGAUUUAAUGGCCACGUAGGAUAAGACAAAGCAUAAGAUAAAACCAAAACAUAUUUGUGAAGACGAGAUGACUUACACCGUACGUCUCCUUCCGACUCUUUACAUACGUGUCGCACUUUUGGUACGCAAGCUGCUUCCAUUUGUCCUCUCUUCUCCCUCUCCCUCUCCUAAACUAACACAACGGAAAAAAGAAAAUUAUUUUUCAUCGUAUUCGUCGUCUCACUAUCGCUGUCCAAAUGGAGAAGAGACCACAACUCAUUGAAUCACUGUUUUCUCAUAAUGAUUUUUUAUUUGUUUCAUAG